AAAAAGACAAACCAUGGAUUCCCGUGUCAACGUUUAAUUGUCCGUCUUAUAUGAAAUUUUUUUAUAAUUAGUAUUUUCAUUGUUGUUAGAUUAUAAAACAUGAUUAAUACUUUAUGUAUGACUUAUCUUUUUAAUUUUUUUCAUAUUUUUUCCAAAUAAGACGGACGGUCAAACGUUGGACACGAAAACCAGAGUUUGUCUUUUU
rfam:Oryza sativa (indica cultivar-group) chromosome 3, whole genome shotgun sequence.